ensembl:snRNA U6 U6 spliceosomal RNA
GUGCUCGCUUUGGGCAGCACAUAUACUAAAAUUGGAUCGAUACAGAGAAGAUUAGCAUGGCCCCUGCGAAAGGAUGACACGCAAAUCCUUGAAGCGCUCCUUAUUUUC